CACUGAUACACUUCUUUGCUCUCUUCAACAAUGUCUGAAGAUCAAACUCAUAAAAUGUUAAACGCUUAUAUCUAUGAUUACCUGAUGAAGAAACAAUUGUAUGAAACAGCCAAAGUAUUUCAUGAGGAAGGUGCCGUUGAAACUGGUAUUGUUAUGGAUGCACCUGGUGGCUUUCUCUACGAGUGGUGGUCGGUUUUCUGGGAAUUGUUUAUGGCCAAACAAGGUCUUUCAAACUCAGA